CGGGCUAUAGCGCAGUCUGGUAGCGCGUCCGUCUGGGGGACGGAAGGUCGUGAGUUCGAAUCUCGCUAGCCCGACCA
rnacentral:tRNA from 2 species